UACGUAGGGUGCGAGCGUUAAUCGGAAUUACUGGGCGUAAAGCGUGCGCAGGCGGUCUGUUAAGACCGAUGUGAAAUCCCCGGGCUUAACCUGGGAACUGCAUUGGUGACUGGCAGGCUUUGAGUGUGGCAGAGGGAGGUAGAAUUCCACGUGUAGCAGUGAAAUGCGUAGAGAUGUGGAGGAAUACCGAUGGCGAAGGCAGCCUCCGUGGCCAACACUGACGCUCAUGCACGAAAGCGUGGGGAGCAAACAGG
rnacentral:rRNA from 1 species